rnacentral:sRNA from 1 species
UUUGUUCACCACCACCACCAAAUCCACCGCCGGCUCAGCUCCUUGCUGCCUCCGCCGCCAGCUGCAACGGUCCCCCUCCUCACUCCCUCCGCCUUCGCCACUGGCUCGCUUGCCCUCUCCCGGCUAGGCUCCUCCCUCUCGCGGUGACGCGCCACAACGACAACGACGGUGCCGCCUAUGGGUAGGGGGAGGAGACGCGCGACGGCGGCAACGACAACUGCGGCGACGACGAUGACGCCGAUGCGACGAGGACGGCGCCUGUGUGAGGGCGGGGACGGAAGGAGGAGAGCUGCCGGCUGGAGGGGGAGGCCGGCGGCGGCGCCCGUGUGCGGCUUUUUGUUAUUCGUUGAAUGUGUUUUUGCAGGCGGGUAAAUCACCGCCUGUAAAGAGGAGAUGUCGCCUGCGUCGCAGGCGAUUGCAUCC